CAGUAGCUGUAGUGAGCUGAGAUCGCGCCAUUGCACUCCAGCCUGGGUGACAAGAGGGAAACUCUGUCCCCUAAAGGCCAGACAUGGUGGCUCACGCACUUUGGGAGGCCGAGGCUGUGAGGAUUGCUUGAGCCCAGGAGUUUGAGACCAGCCUGGGCAACAUAGUGAAACCCUGUCUCUACAAAAACCUUUUAAAAAUUAGCCAGACAUGGUGGUGUGCCUCUGUAGUCCCAGCUACUUAGGAGGCUGAGAUAGGAGGAUCCCUUGAGCCCAGGA
rnacentral:lncRNA from 1 species